rnacentral:lncRNA from 1 species
UAACAUUGUUGUGGAAUUAUGGACUUACAACAAUGACCUUGACAUUUGCUUGAGGAUCUUGUGCUUUGAGACCUUGGGGUUCAUCUGAUACCUCUGGCUUUGGAUUUCUUUGUGAAGACUUGACUUGGUUAUUUUGAUUUCAUCUGAUGCAUAAUUAUUCUUUGCUUAUGUUGUUUGCUUGAGGCUUAAUCCAAAGGAGGGAAUUCUUGAUUUACUUAUGUUAUAAAGCUUGAUAUCUCUUGGUUAGAUCUUUCCUCCCUUGCUUUUACUUUGUGCUCUAGG